rnacentral:rRNA from 1 species
AGAGUUUGAUCCUGGCUCAGAAUCAACGCUGGCGGCGCGCUUAACACAUGCAAGUCGAACGAGAAAGGGGAGCAAUCCCUGAGUAAAGUGGCGUACGGGUGAGUAACACGUGGGUAAUCUACCUUUUGGUGGGGGAUAACGCUGGGAAACCGGCGCUAACACCGCAUAAGCUCGGGAGAGGAAAAGAGAAAUCUGCCGAAAGAGGAGCCCGCGGCUGAUUAGCUAGUUGGUGAGGUAAAGGCUCACCAAGGCAAUGAUCGGUAGCCGGCCUGAGAGGGCACACGGCCACACUGGCACUGAAACACGGGCCAGACUCCUACGGGAGGCAGCAGUGGGGAAUCUUGCACAAUGGGGGAAACCCUGAUGCAGCGACGCCGCGUGAGUGAUGAAGCCCUUCGGGGUGUAAAGCUCUUUCGGCAGGGACGAUAAUGACGGUACCUGAAGAAGAAGCUGCGGCUAACUACGUGCCAGCAGCCGCGGUAAUACGUAGGCAGCGAGCGUUGUUCGGAGUUACUGGGCGUAAAGAGUGCGUAGGCGGUUUUCUAAGUUUGGUGUGAAAUCUCCCGGCUCAACUGGGAGGGUGCGUCGAAGACUGGAAGGCUAGAGUGUGGGAGAGGUAAGCGGAAUUCCUGGUGUAGCGGUGAAAUGCGUAGAUAUCAGGAGGAACACCUGCGGUGUAGACGGCUUACUGGACCACCACUGACGCUGAGGCACGAAAGCGUGGGUAGCAAACAGGAUUAGAUACCCUAGUAGUCC